CGGCGGACGGGUGAGUAACGCGUGGGUAACCUGCCUCAUACUGGGGGAUAACAGUCAGAAAUGACUGCUAAUACCGCAUAAGACCGCAGUACCGCAUGGUACGGUGGUAAAAACUCCGGUGGUAUGAGAUGGACCCGCGUCUGAUUAGCUAGUUGGUAAGGUAACGGCUUACCAAGGCGACGAUCAGUAGCCGGCCUGAGAGGGCGACCGGCCACAUUGGGACUGAGACACGGCCCAAACUCCUACGGGAGGCAGCAGUGGGGAAUAUUGCACAAUGGGGGAAACCCUGAUGCAGCGACCCCCGCCUGAAGGAUGAAGUAUUUCGGUAUGUAAACUUCUAUCAGCAGGGAAGAAAAUGACCGUACCUGACUAAGAAGCCCCGGCUAACUACGUGCCAGCAGCCGCGGUAAUACGUAGGGGGCAAGCGUUAUCCGGAUUUACUGGGUGUAAAGGGAGCGUAGACGGCUAUGCAAGUCUGGUGUGAAAACCCGGGGCUCAACCCCGGGACUGCAUUGGAAACUGUGUGGCUUGAGUGUCGGAGAGGUAAGUGGAAUUCCUAGUGUAGCGGUGAAAUGCGUAGAUAUUAGGAGGAACACCAGUGGCGAAGGCGGCUUACUGGACGAUGACUGACGUUGAGGCUCGAAAGCGUGGGGAGCAAACAGGAUUAGAUACCCUGGUAGUCCACGCCGUAAACGAUGUAUACUAGGUGUCGGGUGGCAAAGCCAUCCGGUGCCGCAGCAAACGCAAUAAGUAUACCACCUGGGGAGUACGUUCGCAAGAAUGAAACUCAAAGGAAUUGACGGGGACCCGCACAAGCGGNUGGAGCAUGUGGUUUAAUUCGAAGCAACGCGAAGAACCUUACCUGCUCUUGACAUCCCCCUGACAGGGCGCGUAAUGGUGCCGUUCCUUCGGGACAGGGGAGACAGGUGGUGCAUGGUUGUCGUCAGCCUCGUGUCGUGAGAUGUUGGGUUAAGUCCCGCAACGAGCGCAACCCUUAUCUUUAGUAGCCAGCGGUUUGGNCCGGGCACUCUAGAGAGACUGCCAGGGAUAACCUGGAGGAAGGCGGGGAUGACGUCAAAUCAUCAUGCCCCUUAUGAGCAGGGCUACACACGUGCUACAAUGGCGUAAACAAAGGGAGGCGAAGCCGCGAGGUGGAGCAAAUCCCAAAAAUAACGUCUCAGUUCGGAUUGUAGUCUGCAACUCGACUACAUGAAGCUGGAAUCGCUAGUAAUCGCAAAUCAGAAUGUUGCGGUGAAUACGUUCCCGGGUCUUGUACACACCNUAAGNGNCACCAUGGGAGUUGGUAACGCCCGAAGUCAGUGACCCA
rnacentral:rRNA from 1 species